rnacentral:rRNA from 1 species
AUUGACGGAAGGGCACACCAGGAGUGGAGCCUGCGGCUUAAUUUGAGUCAACACGGGAAAACUUACCAAGACCGAACAGUAGAAGGAAUGACAGAUUAAGAGUUCUUUCAUGAUUUAUUGGGUAGUGGUGCAUGGCCGUUCUUAGUUGGUGGAGUGAUUUGUCAGGUUAAUUCCGGUAACGAACGAGACUGAAACCUAUUAAUUAGUUUUCUGCCUAUAAGACAGAAAUGUUCGCAAGAACAGGUGCGUAAGUACCACUUCUUAAAGGGACACAUUUCAAUUGUCCUAUUUUAAUUGUAGUUAUCUAAUUUCGGUUAGACCUCUUUUAACGUGGGAAAAAGAAAAAGGAAGCAUUCAGCAAUAACAGGUCUGUGAUGCCCUUAGACAUCUUGGGCCGCACGCGCGCUACAAUGGAGUUACUAGAGAGUAUUUUAUCAUUUACACCUUAUUUAUUAGGCUUUGUCUAAUAAUUAAGGAUAGUAAGUGGUGUACCGAGAUUGAAAUAGUUAAGGAAAACUCAAAAGAACGUACAUGACAGGGAUAAAUGAUUGGAAUUAUUAGUUUAGAACGAGGAAUACCUUGUAAUAUCGAGUCAUA